rnacentral:rRNA from 1 species
GCUCCAAUAGCGUAUAUUAAAGUUGUUGCGGUUAAAAAGCUCGUAGUUGGAUUUCUGCCGAGGACGACCGGUCCGCCUCUGGGGGUGAGCAUCUGGUUCGGCCUGGGCAUCUUCUUGGAGAACGUAUCUGCACUUGACUGUGUGGUGCGGUAUUCAGGACUUUUUACUUUGAGGAAAUUAGAGUGUUUCAAGCAGGCACA